CCUACGGGAGGCAGCAGUGGGGAAUCUUGCGCAAUGGGCGAAAGCCUGACGCAGCAACGCCGCGUGCGGGAUGAAGGCCUUCGGGCUGUAAACCGCUUUCAGCAGGAACGAAAAUGACGGUACCUGCAGAAGAAGGAGCGGCCAACUACGUGCCAGCAGCCGCGGUGACACGUAGGCUCCAAGCGUUGUCCGGAUUUAUUGGGCGUAAAGAGCUCGUAGGCGGUCUAAUAAGUCGGGUGUGAAAACUCUGGGCUCAACCCGGAGACGCCAUCCGAUACUGUUAUGACUUGAGUUCAGGAGGGGAGCGGGGAAUUCCUAGUGUAGCGGUGAAAUGCGCAGAUAUUAGGAGGAACACCGGUGGCGAAGGCGCCGCUCUGGACUGAAACUGACGCUGAGGAGCGAAAGCAUGGGUAGCAAACAGGAUUAGAUACCCUGGUAGUCCAUGCCGUAAACGGUGGGCACUAGGUGUGGGUUUCAACUAACGAAAUCCGCGCCGUCGCUAACGCAUUAAGUGCCCCGCCGUCGGGUAGGUACGGUCGCGAGAACGUAAACGUACGAAACGAAGUAAGUACGGCGUUGAGUACGUUGCCGAACGGCGACGACGAGGGAGGAGG
rnacentral:rRNA from 1 species